GAUCGAGGUUCCUCGGUCCUUUAAAAGUUGUAUGCCUUUGAAUUCCAUAAUAUUUGAUUAAGUUGAAACUAAUAGAAAAAAUAAGUAUAUCCUAUAUAAUAAUUAAAAAUUUUGUGAAUUUGGUCUAUAAUUAAUUAUGUGAUUAAGUUAAAAGAGAUAAGAAAGAAAAGAGAAGAAAUAGUGAUCACAUACGAUUCGGGUUGAGUAAUUGUCGUUAUCCAAAUAAAUACGAAAAUAUUAUUAAACUGUGAUUAUUUUAGGCAAAGAAUCAAAUUUCAUAAAAGAUAUGACAAUUGACGUAGCGAUGAUAGGUAAAAAUAAUAAGUAACAUAAUACAAUUUAGUGUAGUUGUUUUUUGUUUACCUUUUUUUUUUUUUUUUUACCUUCCUUAUUAAUAUUAUUUUUAUUUUGUUGAACUGUUACAAACUUUGUUUAUAGAUAGAUAUUAGGAGUUCUAAUGUUUGCCAAACUUUGUAACAGUCGGCCUUAUCGGUUUAAAGUAGAAGAAUUAUGCAGUAAUAUGUUUGCUAGGUACGACUUAAAUGUUUGCCAAAGUCUUCUUCAUUGAAUUGUUACGAAUUGUAAGUAUACGACCGGUGAUUUUAUAUCUUUCCAAUUAACACACACAAAUGUAAAAUGCAGAAAAAUACGAAGAACAAAAAAAAUUAAAAAUAAAACAUUCCAAAUUUGUUUCGUUCGUACGAUGGUGAUUGUGGUGGUCGAAACUAGAACGAACUACUAUUAUAACUCACCACCCCAUGCAUUAAUAGCCAAAAAGAAACCGGUUCG
rnacentral:lncRNA from 1 species